AUGGCAAAUGUGUUGAUGACUUUCACUGUUUUUUUCCCAUUCAGAUGUGUUUUGAGAAUGUUAUUUAACCUGUUGCUGUACAGUUUUGACAGUGUUUGUUUAAUAUUCUUUUGUUCUGUGAAUCUGGUGCUGGAAUCCCAAAUACACUUCACCCUCCUCGAUGGAUUCAAUAGUGACUCCAUUUUCAAGAAUGAAGUCUCCUUUCUUUAGGACUCCCUUUUCUAUGUGGAGUGUUUUGCAUUUGUCCAGAUCAAAGUCCAUGCAGAUAUCUUUUGAAAAUGUGUGCAUGAUUUAUAAUUAACAGCUGUUGUAAUUGUGUUUGUGUUGAGGCAUACAGCUUAAUGUCAUU
rnacentral:lncRNA from 1 species